GUGUCAGCAGCCGCGGUAAUACGAAGGGUGCAAGCGUUACUCGGAAUUACUGGGCGUAAAGGGUGCGUAGGUGGUUGGGUAAGUUUGAUGUGAAAGCUCUGGGCUCAACCUGGGAAUGGCAUUGGAUACUGGCGGCCUAGAGUGCGGUAGAGGGCAGUGGAAUUCCCGGUGUAGCAGUGAAAUGCGUAGAGAUCGGGAGGAACAUCUGUGGCGAAGGCGACUGCCUGGACCAGCACUGACACUGAGGCACGAAAGCGUGGGGAGCAAACAGGAUUAGAAACCCUGGUAGUCC
rnacentral:rRNA from 1 species